rnacentral:rRNA from 1 species
AUUGAACGCUGGCGGCAUGCCUUACACAUGCAAGUCGAACGGCAGCACGGGAGCAAUCCUGGUGGCGAGUGGCGAACGGGUGAGUAAUGUAUCGGAACGUACCUUUCAGUGGGGGAUAACGUAGCGAAAGUUACGCUAAUACCGCAUAUUCUGUGAGCAGGAAAGCAGGGGAUCGCAAGACCUUGCGCUGAUUGAGCGGCCGAUAUCAGAUUAGCUAGUUUGUGAGGUAAAGGCUCACCAAGGCGACGAUCUGUAGCGGGUCUGAGAGGAUGAUCCGCCACACUGGAACUGAGACACGGUCCAGACUCCUACGGGAGGCAGCAGUGGGGAAUUUUGGACAAUGGGCGCAAGCCUGAUCCAGCCAUGCCGCGUGAGUGAAGAAGGCCUCGG